rnacentral:rRNA from 1 species
UACGAAGGGGGCUAGCGUUGCUCGGAAUCACUGGGCGUAAAGCGCACGUAGGCGGCUUUCUAAGUCAGGGGUGAAAUCCUGGAGCUCAACUCCAGAACUGCCUUUGAUACUGGAGUGCUUGAGUCCGGGAGAGGUGAGUGGAACUCCGAGUGUAGAGGUGAAAUUCGUAGAUAUUCGGGAAAGAACAACCCAGGUGGCGGAAAGGCGGGC